AACGAACGCUGGCGGUAGGCUUAACACUUGCAAGUCGAGCGCCCCGCAAGGGGAGCGGCAGACGGGUGAGUAACGCGUGGGAAUCUACCCAUCUCUACGGAAUAACGCAUGGAAACGUGUGCUAAUACCGUAUACGUCCUUCGGGAGAAAGAUUUAUCGGAGAUGGAUGAGCCCGCGUUGGAUUAGCUAGUUGGUGGGGUAAAGGCCUACCAAGGCGACGAUCCAUAGCUGGUCUGAGAGGAUGAUCAGCCACACUGGGACUGAGACACGGCCCAGACUCCUACGGGAGGCAGCAGUGGGGAAAAUUGGACAAUGGGCGCAAGCCUGAUCCAGCCAUGCCGCGUGAGUGAUGAAGGCCCUAGGGUUGUAAAGCUCUUUCACCGGUGAAGAUAAUGACGGUAACCGGAGAAGAAGCCCCGGCUAACUUCGUGCCAGCCGCCGCGGUAAGAC
rnacentral:rRNA from 1 species